CUUUUCCCCAUUCCCUGGACUCCUCAGGGCUCAAGACUGAGAAGUGUCCAGACUUCGAGUUGCAAACCUUAGCUUCCAGCUUAGUGUCAGUGUUUAAAAGGGUCUGGAGUGCAAAUGGCCAGUGCCCAGCUUUGGGGCUCUCUUCCUACUUCUCCAUUCAUGGUGACAUCAUUAAUUGAUCCCAGUAUGCUCUCCUGCUAAGGCCAACUUCAGAAUUCUUCUCCAGACAGCACUCCCUGUAGCCACAAGUAAUUGAUUGGAACCAGUUACCCAUGGUCAUCCCUGGUCUGGGAAGCAAGUGAUCCUCCUCUGAUGUGUUAUCAGAAGGUUAACAAUAGCCUAAUGCUAUGUCACAAUGUCUAUGACAUUCAGCUUUCUUCAUUUCAUCAGAACACAUUACAUCAUCUCACAUCAUCACAAGAAGGAUCUUUUACUACUACAAAAUCAGAGCCUGUCCAUUGUCAUACAUCAGAAAAUAAGGACAAGCAAAAAUCACAGAACAAAAGUAUCCCCACCCCUCAGGUUCCUGUACCAGUCAGCCUUCGGGGAGACAAGAACAAUGCCAAUGACUACCGAUUCCUCCCUUCAUCACCUCUCUCCUAAGGGGCAGAGAACUCAAGGAAGCUCUAACUUCCAUUUCUAGGAUUGUCACCACCUACUUUACAGCAGAGAUUCAACUUUAUUAAAGGAUUCACUCAACUUAUUAGCCUGUUUGAGAAGAGUUAGAACAAACAAUCCUAAAAAUUGUAUGGAACCACAGAAGACCCCAAUUAGCCAAAG